rnacentral:tRNA from 1 species
UCCUGAUUAGCUCAGUUGGUAGAGCGCUUUUUUGAAAAUGGAGAAGUCCCUGGUUCGAUUCCAGGGCCAGGCG